GUGCUUGCUUCAGCAGCACAUAUACUAAAAUUGGAAUGAUACAGAGAAGAUUAGCAUGGCCCCUGCACAAGGAUGACAUGCAAAUUUGUGAAGUGUUCCAUAUUUCA
rnacentral:snRNA from 1 species